GAACACAGAAGUGGCUCACGGGCCGCAUUAUAAUGUCAUAUUGUGUAUCUAUAACUGAACAGACAACGGCAAAAUCUUAUCUAUUUGUAUUAUUAAUAAAAAGAUAAGCCUCAAAUUAAACAGGUAAACAGCUUACUUUUUAUCCACCCAAACAUUUGAAAAAGUCGGAAUUUUGAAAAUAUCACGCCUUACCUUAAGUCACGUGCUGUGUUGUGAUUGGCUGCACAAAACGGUGACGUAAUUCCUUGCGUCCGCCCUCUAAUAGAUAAUGGCUCUCGACCAAUGAAAGCGCUUGAAUUCUUAACGUUAUUAUAUAAUUUAGCAUGGCACCUAUAGCUAGCUAUGGUAACGUUAAGGUUAUAUCCCCAUGAUUGGUGCACAUGCAAAUAUGUUUCUCUUUGAUCUUGGUCACAAUCCUAUCCUUAACGCUAUUGUGCACGAAACAUGGGGAAUUACCAGAUGAAAACGAGGCCAUUGGGGCAAAACAGCUGCAUAGUCCAUUAUUGAAUGCGUCAUUAUGGUCAAUUGAAUGUGUUCGAGUACAAUAAUGAGUUUAUCAAAGAAUUAACAUAUUAUUUCCCGAGGGAAGAGAUAUUAAGUGUUUUGUUAUAUAGGAACGAAGAGAAAAUCUACAUCUACACAAAACAAUUGUAUUUCAUGAAUAAAACUCGGUAUUGUAAAUUAUUUUAGCACCAAAAGAACCUGAUAAAAAGCGUUUCAGCAGCAUUUCUAAUUGUUGCAUGUUUGGAAUUGGAAAAAAUUCUUUCUAAACCUUUUACUCAAUUUUGAUAAUUUGGGUACGUAGCCGGUCGGAGCGAACAACAAUUUUUCGCUUGUUGCCCGACAGGAUACAUUACAUUUACCUAAAUCCACGUGAGCACAAAUCAGCCAAUCACGUUUAGUUACAUAUAUUAUUUAGCUCACUCCCCAACGGGGCUUUUCAAUGACCGAUUACAUCAAGUAUUACGCUUACGUAUUACCAUGGAUUGUAAAAUAACUGGAUAGGAAACUUCCUGACGUCACAGUCUAAACCUAGUUGCAAUCUGUGACGUCAUGUGUAUUACCAAAUUUCUCAGCAUUUUUGUUGUUUCGCUAUAUUUUCCGC